GAUAACAAGCUUAGAGGAUAAAUUCUCCCCUGCCAGAAUUUGUUUCUCUGCUGCCAGCCACCUCAGCAUUUAGCAAAACCCCAUUCUUUGCUCACUUCCAGGCUACUUAAAGCAAAGGUGGGUACAGACCACCCUCCUCAAGUUUUGGAUUCAGUCCCACAAUCUUUUUUCAUGCAGGCUGCUGUACUUGUUCCCAAUCCUCCCACCUCUGGAGGUGCUAGAGCCUCCCCAGCACCUGCAGCCGGCAGGAACGCUCUGGGGCAGGACGGCAGAGCCCACAUUGACCUGAGACCCCGUGGCAGAACUGCUGCCUGCUGGUGUGGGAACAACCAGCUGUGUACAUCAGCAGCAAGGAGGGUUCUUCUCAGGAGCCCUUGCAAGGUGUCUGAAGAGGCUGUUCCGGGGCAGCUCAGCAACACUGAUAAGUAUGUGGCAAGAAGGGAUGCAAGGUAGCCUUGAGGCCCUGAUUUUGGCAGCAGAGUUUCACAAAUGUCCCUCUAAGCUCACAUAAAACACCAAGAAACCCUGACAAGACCUUGGAGAAGCCUGCAGCACUGAUGACCAAACCCAGAGGUGCUUUGGACUGAACCAGUGGGAGGUGACAUCGUUUGUUUUGGCAUCAAGGAAGGCAGAGCUGAACCUUUGGAAGGGAUCACAAAAGGAGAGAUAUGCUGAACGGGCUCUCUGCCACCUGAGAGGCAAUCUUAUGAGAGUCUUAUCUGUAUGCAAAGUGGUGCAGCCAUGGGUGAAACACUGCUGGUGUAGGAGUUGAACAGAUCAGAUGUGUAACAACGCAGAAACAGCACUGCUAACGCUCAGGCUGCAAGAACAGCACUGCACAGACCCUCCUGUGCUCGCCCCCACUGUACCCCAUGUCUCCCAAGCAGAGGUGCCAGCCUCGCCAGGGAGCACAGCGUGGCCCAGGCCACCUGCUGCAGACACAGGGACAGGCUGUGGAGCACCCCAGUGGGGACGGCUUGGGUGGGCACCUCCCAGCCUGGGACAGGGGCCCUGCAGCAGCCAUGGGACCAGGAGCCAUAUCACCGUUCCUGGAGCAGCUGCCAGAGGCUGUGCUAGUCCAAGAUCACCAGGCCAGCAGACUCACAGAAAAUAUGUAAGUAGGUUACAGGGGGGUGGGGGAGGCUGUUAAACACAGCAGGAUCCACUUAACAGAGCACCAGUUAGGGGAACAGGCAGACAGAGCAAUACCUGCACGACCUUACU
rnacentral:lncRNA from 13 species